GGGAAGGUAGCUCAGUGGUAGAGUGCUUGCCUUGCAUGCAUGAGGUUCUGGGUUCGAUUCCUCAGCACCA
rnacentral:tRNA from 1 species